AUAUGAGUCUUAUUCAAAUGUUACCUGACUAAAUAAUCUUUAGUUCAGUUAACAAAAUCCAUUGAGGAAAAUUGAGGUAGAUUUUACAGAAUUCUUUAUUGUGUAACUAAUAGUCCCCUUUAACCCUGUUGGUAUAAGACUAACAGAAACUGAAUAACAAUUUGUGUCCAGUGUUUGACUUUAGAUUGACACUAUGCUGAGUGUAAGACUAACAGAAACUUAAUAACAAUUUGUGUCCAGUGUUUGGCUUUAGAUUGACACCAUGCUGAGUUUCAGCUGGGGGUAUGUUAGAGCACUGCAGCAUUCAUAAUUUGAAAGGAUGAGGGUUAAUGGAGUAAAACUAGGAAGGACAGAGACCAUGUGACCAGCAUCAAAUCUAUAGGGAAAACUACUGCCCAGAUUUUGAUUGACAGAUCUAUACAGAUACAGUGGAGCCUCGUUAAUCCGGACACUUUGGUUCCUAGCAAAAUCAUCUGGAUAAAUGAAGCGUCCGGAUAACUGAAUCACAUAUUUUUCAUCUUUAUACAUAAGUAACCAAUAUGCAUACUUUAUUGAUGCAUAUUGAAUUAAACACAUUCUAUCAUUGGAUUUAACCAUUUGCAUUAGUAAAUAAAUCAUGAUAUAAUGUUAAUAUUUACAUGCAUUUCAAAGCUCUAAAAUUGAAAUAUACGUGUGCAGUGUAUUUGCCUAUCUAACUGACAUAUCAUCACACACCACCUAAUUAAAGGGAGGUGUUGACAGGGUGCAGGUAAUCACUUCAAUUAGACAGUUUGUCUUGUUUUCUUUAUAAUUUACGCCUUGCUAAAAUUGUCCGACACAGACUUUCCUUUAAAAAAAAUUACUGUCCGGAUUAACGGUACAAUUUUCAAUGCAUUUUAACGUUUUGUAGUAAAAAAUGACCAUCCGGAACGCGAAUUUCUGGAUUAAUGAUGCAAAAUAACGUAUAAAAAUUCCGUUUCCUAGAAAAAUUGUAUGGAAGGUGAAGCGUCCGUAUUAAUGGCGUCUGGAUUACCGCGGCUCCACUGUAGAUUUACAUACAAAAUGCACACUCUUGUCAUGCAAAAUUAAAUCAGAAACUAUACUCUUGUAUGCAAGUGUGUAAAAAAACUAAAUGCAUAGUGAUGAAGAUCAGGAAGGCCUCUACCAAAUUUGUAAAUUUCAUGAUCUCCUGGGUAGAGGUUCUGACUUCAGGAUGGGGCCAAACUUGGUAUAUAUUAAUGCGUUUAUGUGUGAAACAUUUAAAUAACGUCUACUUUAGUGCUAUUGAUACUAAAUUGAAACUAUAUGUAUAAAUUCCUUUUCCUUGAGUUGUAACUUGCAAAGUUAUAAUGAAAUUACUAAUAAUUUUUGAAAUAUAUGUAUCACAUUUAUACCCCCAAGAAAACGACCCAAAAAAAUGAAAGGCAAAUAAAAAAAAAAAUAGAUUGGGAAAAUAUCGGACUUGAACUUGGAAUGUAUGCUUUAAGUGUAAGAUUACCGAGUACCUAAACCUACCACUAGGCCACCCAGGCAUGUAAGUUUAAAGAUUACACCUUUGACAGACUGCUAAAUCUCAAGGUAAUUAAAUUUUGAGAAUGAUUUAAAAAAUAUUUUAACCAUUUUCAACAAGAGGGCCACCUUAAACCAAAUUUCCUCAAAUGGACUUUUAUACAGUCAUACACAAGUAAAACAAUUUCAGUGUUUUAUUUCUGGUUUAGGGUGGCCUUUUGAAACAGUUUGCAAUUUUUUAAAGGCCCAUUAUGUUACAUCUACUAUAUACUGUAUAUAAUCACAAUGAUGUUUAUGCUUAUCAAAUAAAGAUACUAUCAACAUAUAGAUAUCUUUAUUGAGUAAUUUGGGUAAAACACAAGUACAAACUGACAUUGUGUAGCAGAAUAUUUGUAAACAAUGAUAUUCAAAAAAAAAGUAUUUAUGUAGGCGAAAUUGGAUACCAAGUGCGCUAUAUAUACUUUUUUAUGGGUUAACAAUUGAACAUUUUGAACUUCUUCAUGAUAACUACCAUUCCAAUUCUUUUCAAAUUUUGUAUGAAGCAUCUUUGGGACAAGGGGGACAUAAAUUGUAAAUUUUAGGACUGCUGCACUCCAUUAGCUUUAGAGGCGGGUCAAAAACUGUCAAAAAUUGACCAAUUUUCAAAAAUCUUCAUUUGUAAAACCACCUAUCUGUAACUAUAGAUGCAGAGUGAUGAAGAUCAGGAAGGCCUCUACCAAAAUUUUAAAUUUCAUGCUUGUCGGGGUAGAGGUUCUGACUGCAGGGCAGGGCAAAACUUAGUACUGUAUACUCUGGAUAUAAUGAAAUUCAGGGGACCCCAAAGUUCAAUAUAACCAAUGCUCAACUACACAAAUAUUGCUACUAGGGAUUUAUUUUAACUUCAAUAUAACAGAUAGUUCAAUAUAACCAACUUCAAUAUAAAUGGAGUGCACUGUAUUUAUAUAGAUAGUAUUCAUGUGUAAAACAUUUCAAUAACAUCUUUGAUGCUAUUGAUACUAAAUAGAUAUUUAGAAGGAGUUGGUAGUCCUUUACCAAAGUUGUGAAUUCAAUGAUCCCAAGGGUAAGGGUUUUGGUUGUAGGGUGGUGCCAAAAUUCUUAUAGUUAUUUAUUGUCUUAAGAUAUCAUUUGAAAGAUUUCUUUAAAGGGAACGUAGGGUCAAAAAUCAAAUUUUGAUAUGUGAAAACUGGUACCAUGCAGACAACAAAAUCUAGCAUAGAAAAAAUAAUUGCUGCUGAUAACAAGAUUUAAUCUGUCAUUUACACUGAAAACUGAGCUGAAUGGGAGAAUCUCUUAUCAUGGCGGCUGAUGACGUGUAUGCGGCAAUUCAUUACAACUGCUGUGCCUAUAGCACUAAAUGGGUUACAGAGUAUCUAUAAUCUAAAUAUCAGGAGUUCAAGCGAAAUUUUGCACUGUGGUCAAAGAAAAAGGAAUACAUGUAUCUACCUUUUAGCAUCCCUGAUCUCCCCCCAAAACUAUGAACAUUGUGCAAUAAUUGGAUACAUAACCUUGGAAGUGAAUCUUUUGUUUUUGAACGGCAUUUUGAGAAAGAGUCUUUUAAAGAGGAUAUCAGGGUAAGUACCAGUUAUAUUUGCUUUUUACUCAGUAAAUACUAAUAAUUCUUAAUGUGUAUAACCAGAGUUUAUUUACAACAAACUUUUACUUAUAUAAUAAUUUUCUAAUUUAAUCUAUCCUUAUCCAGUGAACAUUUUGUACAGGCUAAAUAUGAAGGGAUGGGUAAACACUGCUUUUUAAAUAUUCAAAGUUAAAUUAAUAUCUAUUUAAGUUAAGAUAUUGGGAUACACACCAAAACCUAUUAAAAAGAAGAUGCAGUAACUAAAAUAUUUGAUGACAGCAAGCCUAAGAAAUAAGAGAAAAUAGCUCAAAAAGAUGAGGAAAAGCAGGAUACAUGUUAUACUUUCAAAAAUCAUCACAGCACUAGCACAUUUUGUAUUAUACUAUUGUUUUUAAAGAAAUUGAAAAUGUACAAGUAAACAAAUGAAGUAUAGUAUAUAUGAAGUAUAGUAUAUAUGAAGUAAGUAUAUAUAAUUAAUUAGUCAUUAUUUUUCAGCUAAUCCAUUUUCUUUUGGAAACCAAUGAAAACUCAUAUGCAGAACCUAUUGACCAACCUGGACUAUCAGCAUCUUAGGAAACAGCUGAAUGAAGACAUGAAUAGUGACAAAAAUAUCCCACUCUCAAUCCAUAUUGAAGAAUAAAUCAACUUUGUGCAACAUAUACAGAUAGAAUUGCCCAGUCAUUGUCCAUCAUAUGUGCUAAGGAAUGUUCAAGUGAAGAAUGAAGAAGUGAAGAUAAUGAACAAUCCUGUAUAAAGAAUACAAAAUUAAAAGUUUAAGAAUUAA